rnacentral:lncRNA from 1 species
UUCUCUCUUUUUUUCUCAAAUGUUCGAUAUUUCUCACCAAAUUCUUCCAAAAUUCACAUAGGUAUUGAAGAUUUAUCACAAUCCAACAUUCAUCAACUAUUUUACACUUAUAUCCACAAAAUUUCAAGAAAACAAGGGUAAGAUGUCUAAACUUUGAAAUUUUCAAAUUUUUGCUAUUUUUCUUAAAUUCUUGCAAAUUGUUAGGGUUAUCAAGUGUUUUUGGAGUGCGAGCAUAGGUAGAUCAUGGAGUUGUGAAUUUUUUGUGGAUUUAACAUAGGUUAAGUGAAGAUUUUACAUCCUUUUCGAAAUCUAUCAUGUAAAGUGUUCGAUAAAUUGUUCAAGUGGAAUUUGGUUCAAAUUUUAGCAUGAUUCCCAUAUGACACUUAGACUAUACAUGUAUUAGGACUCUUACAUGAUUGCAUUACCAACUUUUACAUAAAUUGCAUGAAAUUUGGGGGAACACAAUUUUCAGCCUUUGGCCCCUUAUGUUCCAAAGAGAAAUAAUACUUCAUCUACAUUAAAGAGCAAAGAAAAGGUUACGAGAUCUUCUAGCAUAGCUCGUACCCAACUUGAUGACUGGAGUAUGCAACGAUUUCGAACACCUGAGCACAAGGCUAGAUUUGAGAAUGUAGUUUCAAGAUGGAAAGUCUGACCAUAAGAACAAGUGGUGGAAGACUGGGAUUUGAGACGACCCAAUUGAUUUGUUUAACGGGAUGGAAAAAAGUAGUAGGUGAGCCUCUAAAGGUUUACCCUACUUUGGUGUAGGAAUUCUCCUCUAACUUCAAUGCAUAAUUAAACACUUUCGGGGAUCGAACAUAUGGACUAGACAUGGGUCCUAGACAAAUGUAUAAGUUUUUUGCAAGAAGUGAUUAAUCCUUAUUACGAACUGAAUAGGAACAAUAUAGUUCAAGUAUCAAUACAUCCAGAUAUGUCAGCCACCGCACAUAUGCUAUAUGGGAGAGACAACGCAUGGCCUCUCCUAAACAAUUAAUUUGAAUACAGACAUUUGAUAGACUUUCUUGUAAUCCCAUAUAAAUUCAUCAUUCACACCAUCAAUCCAAGCUCACACCACAACACUAUCAGUCAUCCCAAAGCCAUUCUACCAUAUUAUCUCACACAGGGCUUUAAGAUUGACUUGGGAUCUCUGAUUUACAAUCUUAUAUGUUUUGUGCCGACAAAUCCAAACCCCAGAUAUGCCUUGAUCUUUUCUAGUCUAUGUCAUGAGUUAGGUAUCAAAUUUUUGCUGAGGAAGUUAUCAGCAAAAAAUUUAGUCUUAACUAAUGCAUUGUCACUGCCAAGAAAUGGCGUUAUAUCAGAUAGCAAUGCAUGCAGCAGUAUACCCUGGGCUAAGAGGUAGAUGAUCCCAUUCCACAUCCUACAUAGCCAGAGCCAACAUCUGAUGUAUUAUGAGCUAGUUGUUUGCAAGUCUAACAAAGACCAAUGGGACAUUGCAGCACAUAAGUCAGAUGAUGAUGGCUUCAUUAGCCAGGGAGCAAUCAAGAACAUGCUAGGAAUGCCAGGUUGUAGGGUAUAGAGCGAGAUAUCAGCAUGAUACCAGCUAAGCUAUUGACCUUGCAUAGAGAGUAUGACCUCGUGGGGAGACGAUUUGAUAGAUGCACAAGACGAGUUGAGGACAUAUAUAUUAGAAAUAAGAUGAUAUAUAGCAGAUUGGAGGACAUGAAUACUUGAGAUGAGGCUAUAUACAGUAGAUCUGGGGAUACACAGACAUGUUGAUCAAAUGUGUGUAUGAUGAGAGACCUUUACUAUUGGUCCACUCUUUCGCCACCAUCCACUUCGGACUCAUCUGGAUUUGGAGCUUUCAUGCCAUUCUAUUCACCAUCUAUGAACUAAUACCAGGUGAGUACCUAAUCCGUUGUCUUCCCUUAACUUUUUGUUUACUGGUUGUACUAUUUCUAGACAUUGAGAGUAAGGUCUGUAUGAAGUUUGGGGAUGGAAGUUUCAUCGAGUCUUUUGCUUUAAUUUUUUGUAUGCUUGUGUGAAAA